rnacentral:rRNA from 1 species
CCUACGGGAGGCAGCAGUGGGGAAUAUUGCACAAUGGGGGAAACCCUGAUGCAGCGAAGCAGCGUGAGGGAUGACUGACCUCGUUAUGUAAAGCUCUAUCUGCAGGGAAGUAAAUGACGGUACGUGAGUAAGUAGCCACGGCUUACUUCGUGCCAGCAGCCGCGGUAAUACGGCGGCGGCCAGCGUUAUCCGGAUUUACUGGGUGUAAAGGGAGCGUAGACGGGUGGUUAAGUCAGGAGUGAAAGUCGGGGGCUCAACCGUCGAACUGCCAUGGAAACUGGAAGGCUGGAGUACAGGAGAGGUAGGUGGAAUUCGUGGUGUAGCGGUGAAAUGCUUAGAUAUCAGGAAGAACACCGAUUGCGAAGGCAGCUUACUGGACUGUAACUGACGUUGAUGCUCGAAAGUGUGGGUAGCAAACAGGAUUAGAUACCCGAGUAGUC